GACGAACGCUGGCGGCGCGCCUAACACAUGCAAGUCGAACGAGCGAGAGAGAGCUUGCUUUCUUGAGCGGGUGGCGAACGGGUGAGUAACGCGUGAGGAACCUGCCUCAAAGAGGGGGACAACAGUUGGAAACGACUGCUAAUACCGCAUAAGCCCACGGUGCCGCAUGGCACAGAGGGAAAAGGAGCAAUCCGCUUUGAGAUGGCCUCGCGUCCGAUUAGCUAGUUGGUGAGGUAACGGCCCACCAAGGCGACGAUCGGUAGCCGGACUGAGAGGUUGAACGGCCACAUUGGGACUGAGACACGGCCCAGACUCCUACGGGAGGCAGCAGUGGGGAAUAUUGCACAAUGGGGGAAACCCUGAUGCAGCGACGCCGCGUGGAGGAAGAAGGUCUUCGGAUUGUAAACUCCUGUUGUUGGGGAAGAUAAUGACGGUACCCAACAAGGAAGUGACGGCUAACUACGUG
rnacentral:rRNA from 1 species